rnacentral:rRNA from 1 species
CAAGCGUUGUCCGGAUUUAUUGGGCGUAAAGAGCUCGUAGGCGGCUGAGUAAGUCGGGUGUUAAAUCCCCAGGCUCAACCUGGGACACCACCCGAUACUGCUCUGGCUAGAGUCCGGUAGGGGAGCGUGGAAUUCCUGGUGUAGCGGUGAAAUGCGCAGAUAUCAGGAGGAACACCAGCGGCGAAGGCGGCGCUCUGGGGCCGGAACUGACGCUGAGGAGCGAAAGCGUGGGUAGCAAACAGGAUUAGAUACCCUGGUAGUCCACGCCGUAAACGUUGGGCACUAGGUGUGGGGUCUAUUCAACGGACUCCGUGCCGUAGCUAACGCAUUAAGUGCCCCGCCUGGGGAGUACGGCCGCAAGGCUAAAACUCAAAGGAAUUGACGGGGGCCCGCACAAGCAGCGGAGCAUGUUGCUUAAUUCGAGGCAACGCGAAGAACCUUACCUGGGUUUGACAUGUAGAGAAAAGCCAUAGAGAUAUGGUGUCCUUCGGGGUUCUACACAGGUG